GGGGGGGCGCGCAAGGGUUAAAACAAAAUGGCGGCCGCGAUCGUAGUCCGCGUGGUAUGCUGAGCGCGGGAAAGGACAGCGGGGAAGGAGCGAGUGAGGGAAAAACGUAUAAGGUGGUUCACGGGUUUUUCCUGUCAGUUUUCAUGGGAAAAGGAAAAUUGUGGCCACGCAGCUAGAAGCGUUGGCUGCGAUAUCGUGAAACACUAUCAAUUGGUAGAAUGAAACAGGCAAAGGGCACAGGCCCCUGCCUAAAAAAAGUGUUAAAACCAUCUCGGAAGAAUUAUUAUCAGCAUCUGAGGCUGUCCCAAAGGAACAAAAGGUGAAGAGAUGCAGCUUGCCUGGCUAUGAGCAAAAUUUCUGAUAGGGCAGCGCCUCUCUGGGAGGUCUCAAGCACAAAUCAUUAAAUAACCCAUCUGUAGGUCUCUAGGAAAUAAAGAAGUAAGAGAAAGCAUCCAGAAGGCUUUAUCGAGACAGAUUGUCUGAAGCCAAUGAAAUUUCUCACUGACACUGCAAGUGGUCUAGUUUACAUGAUACACCUUGAUUUUUCUGAGGCUUUUGACACCAACCCACAGGGCAGUCUCGUAAGCAAGCUUGUUAAGUGCACAAGGAUUUGACAAAUCAGUCUUGCAAAGUAAUUACCUAUGGUUCACUUAGUGGGUGUCUGAAGUAAACUCCACUUAUACUUUUUAAAUAUAUAUAUAUAUAUUUUUGGAUGAUGUAAUAGGAGGUGCAAAUUACAGUUUAAUCUGGAAUAGGAUUUGGAUUUUGCAUUGUUGGGUGGGAAGCUAGGAACUAGAACAAGUAGUACCCAGUGUAAAAUAGAAAAAAAAAUACCACUUUUUUCAAAAUAGAACGGAAAGACAGGCUGUAUUAAUGUUUAUGCCAAUGGCCAGAAUUUCUCUGUGUUUAUUUAACGCCACAAUUUUAUUACCAGAUUAGUGAAAGCAUUAAGGAGUUUAAAACAACCUAGCUAUUUUUUAACCACAAAACAUUUGAAGUUGAAAAAAAAAAAAAAAGUAUUCUUCAGCAGCAGUUUAAUUUGGGGAAAAUUGAGUAGAAGUUGUGUGUAGGUGAAUCACAGGCAUUUUUUACUCAGGCCAUCUGCCCCAGUUAAUGUGAACUCUGCAGUCAGCCUUCUGUAUUUCACUGUACAAAGUUCAGUUUGCCAAAAGUCAUUCCUCUUUGUAACUAACCCUGCAUACUGUGUGAAGUUUAUUUAUGCAUUAUUUUCCUAGUGAUAGCUUCUUUCUCCUUCAGUCACGAACGUGUCUCAGAGGUGGCCUUGCUACAAGUAUGCUGCCAGCUGGCCUACAAACAGUAAUGACCAUCUGGGGAGAUAAGGAGGUCCAAAUACAACUGAAGUCAGCCAUAAACAAUGCUUUGUUGUACAAUAAUAAAUUCAAGUGAAUAGCUUGGGCAGGCAUUCUUUGGAGAGGUAAACAGCACAGUGGAAAGAUCAAGGGGCUUAAAAGAGAACAAGGCCCAAGACAACAGUGAGAACUGCCAGAACUUGAUGGAAGCUUGAUACUCAAGACACACAAAGCUCUGAUCCCCAAUUAAUCCUUCUACCAGGAAUAACCGAUUGAGAUCCCAAAGACUGGUGACCAUUUUGAACUCAUGGAACAGCAGUACGAAGAGAGUGAUCCCAAAGUGCUGCUUCUCACACGGCCAGUUGGAAACACAGUGAAGAACAAAUGAAUGCAUCCUGGUCCUUUUUUUUCCUGCCUCAUCUGGUUCUGGCUUGCAGCAGUUGUUUGAAGAUACGUGAGUCUGCAGUUUGCCUAAGCAUGUUGGAAAGGAUGAAUUGACUGGAAGGAAUAAAUGAAAUACUGAAAGUGUGAAAAAGUGAGCAGGCUGCUUUUCUGUGACUGUAGAAUUGUAGGAAAAAAAGAAAAAAGAAAAAAAAAAAAGUUUUACUUGUAGCCUCAAUAAUGCCAAAGAUUACACAGCUUCUAUUCACUAGAAUAUGAACAUAUAAAUGUAACAAGCCGUGUCCCUGCAUUUUUGCAAAUACUAAGAACUGGUUUUUUCACAGUAAAUAGUAAAUUCUGAAAAUGUUUGCCAUUCAAGACAGCACUGGCAGCCUAAUACCUGACCCCAGCUUAAAUGAACCCAAGACCUCCCCACCCAGUGUGAUCAAUCCCCAGUUAUGGUAAUAAACAUCAUCAGCAGAUUUAUAUUAAAAGCAAUAAAACAUUUCCAGCACUGAAAACUUCAGUGGGAUCUUUUUCUCAGUAUGACCUAAAGAUGAUUUAGCCCUGUUAACAACUGCUUCCUGGCCAUUUUCCCUGGCACCACAUUAAUUUUAAAAUGUCAUGUUUAUUUACUUGAUAUCAUCAUCCU